rnacentral:rRNA from 1 species
CACUCCUGCGGGAGGCAACAGUGGGGAAUAUUGGACAAUGGGCGCAAGCCUGAUCCAGCCAUGCCGCGUGAGUGAUGAAGGCCCUAGGGUUGUAAAGCUCUUUCACCGGUGAAGAUAAUGACGGUAACCGGAGAAGAAGCCCCGGCUAACUUCGUGCCAGCAGCCGCGGUAAUACGAAGGGGGCUAGCGUUGUUCGGAUUUACUGGGCGUAAAGCGCACGUAGGCGGACUAUUAAGUCAGGGGUGAAAUCCCGGGGCUCAACCCCGGAACUGCCUUUGAUACUGGUAGUCUUGAGUUCGAGAGAGGUGAGUGGAAUUCCGAGUGUAGAGGUGAAAUUCGUAGAUAUUCGGAGGAACACCAGUGGCGAAGGCGGCUCACUGGCUCGAUACUGACGCUGAGGUGCGAAAGCGUGGGGAGCAAACAGGAUUAGAUACCCUAGUAGUCCCA